rnacentral:rRNA from 1 species
GAUGAACGCUAGCUACAGGCUUAACGCAUGCAAGUCGAGGGGCAUCAGGAAGAAAGCUUGCUUUCUUUGCUGGCGACCGGCGCACGGGUGAGUAACACGUAUCCAACCUGCCCUUUACUCGGGGAUAGCCUUUCGAAAGAAAGAUUAAUACCCGAUGGCAUAAUGAUUCCGCAUGGUUUCAUUAUUAAAGGAUUCCGGUAAAGGAUGGGGAUGCGUUCCAUUAGGUUGUUGGUGAGGUAACGGCUCACCAAGCCUUCGAUGGAUAGGGGUUCUGAGAGGAAGGUCCCCCACAUUGGAACUGAGACACGGUCCAAACUCCUACGGGAGGCAGCAGUGAGGAAUAUUGGUCAAUGGGCGCUAGCCUGAACCAGCCAAGUAGCGUGAAGGAUGAAGGCUCUAUGGGUCGUAAACUUCUUUUAUAUAAGAAUAAAGUGCAGUAUGUAUACUGUUUUGUAUGUAUUAUAUGAAUAAGGAUCGGCUAACUCCGUGCCAGCAGCCGCGGUAAUACGGAGGAUCCGAGCGUUAUCCGGAUUUAUUGGGUUUAAAGGGAGCGUAGGUGGACUGGUAAGUCAGUUGUGAAAGUUUGCGGCUCAACCGUAAAAUUGCAGUUGAUACUGUCAGUCUUGAGUACAGUAGAGGUGGGCGGAAUUCGUGGUGUAGCGGUGAAAUGCUUAGAUAUCACGAAGAACUCCGAUUGCGAAGGCAGCUCACUGGACUGCAACUGACACUGAUGCUCGAAAGUGUGGGUAUCAAACCAGG